AGUGAACGCUGGCGGUAUGCCUAAUACAUGCAAGUCGAACGGCCGCACAGUAAGAGUUUGCCCCUACGGUUGGCGAGUGGCGGACGGGUGAGGAAUACAUCGGCAUCUACUUUUUCUUGGGUGAUAACGUAGGACAACUUACGCUACUACCUCAUACGUCCUACGGGUUGAAUUAAUGGAUCUUCGGACCUUUCGCGUCUCAUUUAGCCGAUUCCGGAUUAGCUAGUUGGCGUGGUAAAGGCCCACCAAGGCGACGAUCCGUAGCUGGCCUGAGAGGAUGAUCAGCCACACUGGAACUGAGACACGGCCCAGACUCCUACGGGAGGCAGCAGUGGGGAAUAUUGGGCAAUGGGCGCAAGCCUGACCCAGCCAUACCGCGUGGGUGAAGAAGGUCUUCGGAUUGUAAAGCCCUUUUGUUGGGAAAGAACAACAGCAGGUGAAAACAUGGAUGUCCUGACGGUACCCAAAGAGUAAGCCACGGCUAACUUCGUG
rnacentral:rRNA from 1 species